rnacentral:rRNA from 1 species
GUGGGGAAUCUUGCGCAAUGGGCGAAAGCCUGACGCAGCCAUGUCGCGUGAAUGAUGAAGGUCUUAGGAUUGUAAAAUUCUUUCACCGGGGACGAUAAUGACGGUACCCGGAGAAGAAGCUCCGGCUAACUUCGUGCCAGCAGCCGCGGUAAUACGAAGGGGGCUAGCGUUGCUCGGAAUUACUGGGCGUAAAGGGCGCGUAGGCGGACAGCUUAGUCAGAGGUGAAAGCCCAGGGCUCAACCUUGGAAUUGCCUUUGAUACUGGCUGUCUUGAGUUUGGGAGAGGUGAGUGGAACUCCGAGUGUAGAGGUGAAAUUCGUAGAUAUUCGGAAGAACACCAGUGGCGAAGGCGACUCACUGGCCCAAUACUGACGCUGAGGCGCGAAAGCGUGGGGAGCAAACAGGAUUAGAAACCCUGGUAGUCC